UUUCCGCACUACACUAUAGGGGAAAAAAUCUGUUCUCUCAACGAGAGGGAAGCCCAUAACCCUUGGGAGUAUUAGGAUAUGUUUGAGGGAUAAUUUCUGAACACUGCUAAAAAGUUAUACCCGUCGUUCUAACUGCUCUUAACCAUAUUCGAAAGUCAAGUGCUGGAAUCCGCCUAAAUUGUGUAAACUCCAUUUAAGCUAAUAUUGUUCAGUGACCGUUGCCAACCAGUACGUGAGGAAAGAUGAAAAGAACCUGAAAAGGGGUUAAAGUACGUGAAAUUGUUAUAGAAAGCACUUAGUCUCAUGUGAUUAUUACAGUCUGUUUCGGCAGAUACUGUUUUAAUUAGUAUGAUCAGUUAAGAUUGAUAAAGAAAAUUUGUGAUAAGGUAUUAGUGUAAUGCUAAACUAAAGAUCACUUAUUAUUUAUCGACAUUGACUGAGGAAUGCUACUUAAUCUUUUUGAGUUGCUAGUUUGUGGAGUUAGAUUAAACAACAUGUUGAUUAAUUUAAUUAAAGCAAUCUACUAGCUUUAAAACUUAAGUACAGGAUCAUAAUUAAAUGAUACUAAAUGACCCGUCUUGAAACACGGACCAAGGAGUCUAACAUGAUUGCGAGUUACAGGGUGAAAAACCUUUGAGCGCAAUGAAAGUGAUAAAGAUAGGAUAGGUUAAACUUGCACUAUCAACCUAAACUGAUGAUUUUUUCUGACGUUUUAGAGUUAGAGCAGUCAUGUUGGGACCCGAAAGAUGGUGAGCUAUGCUUGAAUAGGGCAAAGCCAGAGGAAACUCUGGUGGAGGCUCGUAGCGAUUCUGACGUGCAAAUCGAUCGUCAAAUUGAGCAUAGGGCGAAAGACUAAUCGACUCUAUGUUC
rnacentral:rRNA from 1 species